rnacentral:rRNA from 1 species
CAGCCGCCACGGUAAUACGUAGGUGGCAAGCGUUGUCCGGAAUUAUUGGGCGUAAAGCGCGCGCAGGUGGUUUAAUAAGUCUGAUGUGAAAGCCCACGGCUCAACCGUGGAGGGUCAUUGGAAACUGUUAAACUUGAGUGCAGGAGAGAAAAGUGGAAUUCCUAGUGUAGCGGUGAAAUGCGUAGAGAUGUGGAGGAACACCAGUGGCGAAGGCGACUCUCUGGUCUGUAACUGACGCUGAGGAGCGAAAGCGUGGGGAGCGAACAGGAUUAGAGACCCCGGUAGUCCCUGUCUCUUAUAC